rnacentral:lncRNA from 1 species
UGAGGUGUUUGGUUUUUUGUCCUUGCGAUAGUCUGCUGAGAAAUCUGCUGGCCAUUGCUUUGGUGAUGUACCCAGGAGUGAGUCACAAGUUAUGCAUGUGUUCAGCAUUAGUAAAUACUGCCUAAGGGUUUUGUGAAUUGUACAAAUACUUCUAUAUACCCCUUCACUUGAAGCCUCUGAUACUUUAAUUUCUUACCAGUUUGGCAUUAUCUAUUUCAUUUCAGCCACUCUGAUGGUUGUAUAUAAAUACAGUAUGUUACUUUUGAUUUGCAUUUUUUGAUGACUAAUGAUGAGUUGCAUUACUUUAUCUUAUUAAUUUGAAAGAGAUCCUUAUACAUUACAAUUAAGAAUUCUGUAUCAUAUAUAUGAAUAUAUAGUGAACAGCACCUCCCACUCUAUGGGUUGCCCUUUCACCAUGAAGUAUACCUUGAGGAACAGAAGUUCUGUGAGUAUAAUAUUGUUCAUUUUAUGAAUUAUUUUUCUUUUGGUCAGCAAUUGUAUGUCUUGCUUAAGAAAUAUUUGCCUACCUCAGGCUCAACUAGAAAAAUCUUCUGUGUUUUUUCUCAAUGUUUUACUGUUUCAUAUGUUAAAUCUUGAUCUGCAUUCUGUCGAAAAUUGAUUUUCACAUAAGCAUUGUCACUGUUAUUACACUACAUGGAGUUGUAUAUGAUUAGGUCUCUUUCUGGGCUCUCUAUUCAACUUUAUAGUUCAUUUCAUCUAUGCUUUUCUAAUUAGUAUUACUUUAUAAUAGAUCUUCAUAUCUGGAAGUGGUCCAUUUUUACUUUUUAUUUUCGUGAUUGCUUUGGGUAUUCAUGACUUCAUAUUUCCUGGUACAUUUUAUUUUCCCCUGGUCAGUUUUCACACACACACACACACACACACACACACACACACACACACACACUGGCAGAGAUUUUGAACUGUGUUGAAUAUAUUCAUUCAUUUUGGGAGAAAUUACAUCUUUAGAAUAUUGUGUUUUAUCAUCAGUGAACAUGGCAUAUUAUAAUUUUUUGUUCUUUAAAAUAUCUUCCUA